CUGUCAAAAUUUAAGUUAAAAAGAUAGUGUAAUAAUAGGAAUAUGACAGCGCUAAAAAUUUGUUAUGGGAAUUUUCUACGUGCAGGAGGAUUUUAGUCCAAUUUUAGGGAAACCUCUGUCGAAUUUUUUCUAGGAAAUGAACAAGAGUUGGAUAACAAAGGACAGACUUUCAAAAGAGUAUGAAGAGGGAGUCGACAACUUUAUUAAGUUAGCGUUAGAAAAUACAACAGAUCCUUCCACCAAUGAAGGACUUCGUGACAAAUGAGUUUUCAAUGCGAUGGCUAACUAGUAAUUGUGGCGGGAAGAACUAUUACACAAAGGAUGAGAUCAAUGAAGUACGUGAAGAAUGGGCACAAUGCAUCAUGGAUUUGAUGAGUACUACAUAGGUCCACUCACUUUUGUUAACUUAGACUUUUAAUGAGAUAUACUUACAAUGUUAACUUAGACUUUCUUGAAGAUAUACACACUUUUGUUGCCUAACUAUAGUUUACAAUGCUUAUGUGAGUCAUUUUGUAAUUAA